CUCUCCCCCGUGACCUCUUCGACCCAAACCUCAAGCGAAAAUUCCCUAGCUCGCUAGACCGGCGCAGGACUGUGACUGCGCGCCUCCUUUUACCUGAGAGGGACCGCCGGGCCCCCGGGCGCAGCCGCCAAAGGCGGGGAGCCGCCGCCGCCCCGGCGCAACUCAUUGCCGGAACUAAAAAAAGCAACCACUUCGUUGAACGGAACUGGCCAAUAGUGCCCUUGGCUCGGACUGAUGACGCACAGCAGACGUAAGGAAGGCUCAGCUCGCCCGCGCACCGGUGGGAACGCCCCCUAGCUCUGCGCUAGGGGUUAGAUUGGUUAGAUACGACAAAUAAAAAGAUUUUAUUGGGUGGGGUCACUGUCAAUCACUCGGAAGACCAAGGCCAAGGCGCCUUGGGUUGCCAGGGAGAUGAAAAUGCUAAAUUGCUGUUUAGAAAGAUCAGGACAAGGUUAUGAUUUCUCACCCAAGUUCCUGGGGAAAAGGAUCAUGAGGGAAUUACUUAUUAACAAGGAAAAAGCAAAGAGGAACUUUACAAACUAUUACAGUUUUCCAUCAUCACUUGACUGCUGACAAGAAGCCUCUUUGAAUUCCAGUAUACACGAUCACAUUUUAAAACCUUCAAGACGCCGUUUAAUCAGGAGUUGUAAGGCACAUUUGUUAGAGAGAGCUGCACUUUAAAAGUUAUACAGACAUCACCUGAAGUUAUUAAAGUUAUCAAAACAUAUUAAAAACCUUCAAGUAAGAGGUAUGCAUAUUAGCAGCAUUUAACUAAAAUUAAUAUAUUAAUUAGCAUAUUUCAGUAUCACUUUUAUAAUAGGAAAAAAAACGCAGUACGUUUUCGUUGUGUUCAUCACACACACACACACACACACACACAAAUAGAAAACUUGAAUAUCAUCAAGUCUGGUCACAGUGAAAAUGUUAUAUAAAUAUAAAGGCACUGGGCAGAAAUGUUUACAAUUACAACUUUUUUUUUCUUUUCACCUAUCUUUUUUUUUGAGAUAGGGUCUCCCUCUGUCACCUAGGCUGGAGUACAGUGGCACGGUCUCGCACACUGCAGCCUUCACCUCCCAGGUUCAAGUGAUUCUCAUGCCUCAGCCUCCCAAGUAGCUGGGAUUACAGGCACACGCCACCAUGCCUGGCUAAUUUUUGUACUUUUAGUAGAGACGGGGUCUUGCCACAUUGACCAGGCUGGUCUCAAACUUCUGACUUCAGGUGAUCUGCCCUCCUUGGACUCCCAAAGUUCUGGGAUUGCAGGCAUGAGCCACUGUGCCCAGCAGAAUUUAUUUUUUUAAGUGAGACUGGAAUGAAUCUUUGGUUACUCAAAAUUCCAUGACACCAGUUAUUAGAUUUAGACGAGAUCAGGCAUUUUCAGGGUGGUAUGACUGUAGUUAUUAGAUUUAGAAACCCAUAAACCUUACCAAGUCAGGAAAAGACCGAAAAGCUCAUUGGUAUCCCAGUUACAAAAAUAUUCCACUUUAAAUAAUAUCUUUGUGGAAAAGCAAGAAAAUGGCUGUAAGAAAGGGACGAGAAGAUACCUUUGCUCCUCUGAGCAAGGAUUCAGGCAUUUUUGAGUAGUGGAGUGGAGAUGGCCGGGAGAAUUAUUGUUAACAGCAACAGCUUUCUAAAACCUGCACCCAACUUUAAAUUCCAGGCUACUCCCCAGGAAACGUGUGGAGCCAGUGAACGGAAGAAAAACAAUGGAAGGAAGGCUUGAAAAGUCCAUUACAAAACUACAGUCCUUUGAAAAAGAUUUCAAAGAUAUUAAAAUGAAAACUGAUUACAUUAAACAAUAACUUAAACUUCUGUUCUUCUGUUAAAAGGUUGACAUCUAUCAAUUUUGGGUAAGCUUACAAUGAGGUAUUUAUUGCAUAUGGUUUUUACCAUAACGGAAAUCUUAAGAGAUAUUCUACAUUUUUUUUUUAGGGAGAGUUUUGCUCUUUUUGCCCAGGCUGGAGUGCAAUGGUGUGAUCUCAGCUCACUGCAAACUCCACCUCCUGGGUUCAAGCAAUUCUCCUGCCUCAGCCUCCUGAGUAGCUGAUAUUACAGGCAUGUGCCACCACACCCAGCUAAUUUUGUAUUUUAGUGGAGACGGAGUUUCUCCACGUUGGUCAGGCUGGUCUUGAACUCCCCAACUUAGGUGCUCCGCCUGCCUCGGCCUCCCAAAGUGUUGGGAUAACAGGCGUGAGCCGCUGCGCCCAGCCACAUGUUUUGUGAAAUAAAGGCACAUGCAUUAAAAAUUGUAAGCACAGGAAAACAACCCUAAAAAAUGUGGACGUGUGUGUUUAAGAAACCAGCCUCCAAUUCUGUUUGUUAUACACUCAUGGGCUGGUCUGAUUAACAGGCUGAGCUUCAGUCCACAACCCAAAACACUUGUGCACAUAAACUCGUGGCUCAAAUACUAAACUACCGUCUCCGCUCUUUCAUUCUUGUAAAAGCUUGAAUGGCUUGUUGGUUUUUGGUAGAGUUGUCACAGAGUGGCCGGUCUGCAGGCAAAGCCUUGGGUUUCCCCUGCUUUUCUAAGUCACUGAAGCCCUAAUUAAGGGCUGGGUUAGGUAAACACAGCUGCACAUAUGGAAAAGCCUAAACUCAAGAAAAAUAUAUUUUUAAAUGUCCACUCAAAACCCAGGUAGACUCUGUAGGCUCAGCAGAAUCACUAGGUCAGCUUAGAAGCAACAGGCAGCACCAUCUUCACGCUCAGUCUAGUUAGUUCCUCAUGUCCCUUUGGGCUUCUGUUAGUUUCUGGAUUAGGUAGCACUUGUCACGACUUUCCUAAAAAAUAAUAAGUUCACAUGUACAUUUAAUAUAUUUGGAAACAAAUACCAUCAUUACCUACCAGACUGAGGGCUGAGGAUUCUAACCACUGGACUAUUGUAAUGGCCUCUCAUCUGGUCUGUCAUUGUGUCUGCUCCACAGCCCCUUGUCCACAAAGCAGCCGAUCCUUUUUUUAAAAAAUGCACAGUACAGCUGGACACGGUGGCUCAUGCCUGUAAUCCCAGCACUUUGGGAGGCCGAGGCAGGUGGAUCACCUGAGGUCAGAAGUUUGAGACCAGCCUGACCAAUAUAG
rnacentral:lncRNA from 1 species